UACGUAGGGUGCAAACGUUGUCCGGAAUUAUUGGGCGUAAAGAGCUCGUAGGCGGUUCGUCGCGUCGGCUGUGAAAACCCGGAGCUCAACUCCGGGCCUGCAGUCGAUACGGGCGGACUUGAGUGUUGCAGGGGAGACUGGAAUUCCUGGUGUAGCGGUGAAAUGCGCAGAUAUCAGGAGGAACACCGGUGGCGAAGGCGGGUCUCUGGGCAACUACUGACGCUGAGGAGCGAAAGCGUGGGGAGCGAACGGG
rnacentral:rRNA from 1 species